rnacentral:rRNA from 1 species
GAUGAACGCUGGCGGCGUGCCUAAUACAUGCAAGUCGAGCGAACGGAUGAGAAGCUUGCUUCUCUGAUGUUAGCGGCGGACGGGUGAGUAACACGUGGAUAACCUACCUAUAAGACUGGGAUAACUUCGGGAAACCGGAGCUAAUACCGGAUAAUAUUUUGAACCGCAUGGUUCAAAAGUGAAAGACGGUCUUGCUGUCACUUAUAGAUGGAUCCGCGCUGCAUUAGCUAGUUGGUAAGGUAACGGCUUACCAAGGCAACGAUGCAUAGCCGACCUGAGAGGGUGAUCGGCCACACUGGAACUGAGACACGGUCCAGACUCCUACGGGAGGCAGCAGUAGGGAAUCUUCCGCAAUGGGCGAAAGCCUGACGGAGCAACGCCGCGUGAGUGAUGAAGGUCUUCGGAUCGUAAAACUCUGUUAUUAGGGAAGAACAUAUGUGUAAGUAACUGUGCACAUCUUGACGGUACCUAAUCAGAAAGCCACGGCCAACUACGUG